rnacentral:rRNA from 1 species
UACAGAGGGUGCAAGCGUUAAUCGGAAUUACUGGGCGUAAAGCGCGCGUAGGUGGUUUGUUAAGUUGGAUGUGAAAUCCCCGGGCUCAACCUGGGAACUGCAUUCAAAACUGACAAGCUAGAGUAUGGUAGAGGGUGGUGGAAUUUCCUGUGUAGCGGUGAAAUGCGUAGAUAUAGGAAGGAACACCAGUGGCGAAGGCGACCACCUGGACUGAUACUGACACUGAGGUGCGAAAGCGUGGGGAGCAAA